UUUGUUUCACCAAUCUUGUGGUUGUUUGUUCCAACGCUACCCAUCAUUCUUUUUUUCACCUGAUGUUUAUGGAGUCCAAAAUCUGAAAAAUGUUUCCAGAUUCUAAAAUUCAUACUAUUUUUUAACUUGGAUGAAAAUGCAUUUCUAAAGAAGAAAUUUGUUGAUUUGUUGUGUUGUGUGAUGCAUCCAGGUCUCAAUCUCCGAAGGUGACAAAUGACAUUUUCGAAUUUUCAUUGCAUUUGAAAGUACUUCAUAGGAUGUAGUGAACAAUGCUUAUUUUGGACAAGUUCCACUAUUACAUGAUAUAUAUAUAUAGUAAUCAACAACAUGCAACUUAUACAACAAAUGCACAUAUAUUUUGCUAGUGAAUCCUGCAAGUUUGAACAUCAAUAGUUCAAACCAAAAUAGUGCACUCCCUAGUUUUUUUAUUGGUAUAUACUAAAACUUAAAAGUUUUCAAAAUUCUCACGAAUAAGGUUUAAAUCCAAAUAAACCUCUAGUAUUCUAUUUCUCUAAAACAUCAAAUUUUCGAACAAAUGAAAGUAAAUAAUUUACAGUUGCACUAAACUUCAAUUUUCACAGAUUGUGUGGCUCCAACUAUUUGUGUCGACUCUUAUGUCUUGUGGACAGGCAGGAAGGACAUAGAAAAUUACCCAAUAUAGUGCGUAAUGCAGUGAUCCAAAGGCACAAGUUAUGUUCCUACAACCUCCAAACUCUGUUAUAUGAAUAAAUUGUUAAGAAAUAAUCAGAAAAAUUAUGAUAACAAAUCAUGGUUUUAUUUAUUUGUAAGCAUUGAUACAAAGAAUGGAUUUGGGGAUACUGCAAUGAAUGUGCUCCCAAGUCUCAGCUCUUAUAAGACAUGAAUCAUAAACAGAAAAUGCAUAAUAUACAGAAUGCAUGCUAAAAAUUAUAUAUAAUAUAUGUACAAAAAUGGAGAGGCCAUGCAAUCAAAGAUAUUUUCUUCAAAAUAAGUUUGCCAAAACUUUACCUUUUUAAGAAAUACUCAUCAUGGAAUCAAUGGUAAAGUAUAAACAUGCAUAAUUUGAGUUAAAUAAAUACAGCAAAUUUCAGUAUUAUAUGUAUAUCAAAUACUGUUUAUAGUUCAUUUUGUCCUUGAAAUAUAAAGCUCCUUAGCACUAAACUUAAUGUUUAGUGCAUAUGUCUGCAACUUAACAAACAUAAAUUCUUAUCAAAUAAAAAUAAUGGAUAUUUGUAGUAUCAAUCAUGAUUAAAAUAGAGAAAAAGUAGUAGAUCAAAUAUAUUGAAAUGAAACGGUAAGUUGUCCUCAAUUUGUUGCUUUUUUAGUAACCUGCGAAAUGCCAAUUGUCGAUAAAAAAGAUUGCAGUAUCGCUACCUAGCGUAAAAUAAAAUAAACUAUUUAUUUUAUACUUUCGGUAAAAAAAUUAAAUGCAAAUGCAAAAUCAGAAUCUUAAAUAAUUUAAUUAUAUCUUUCUUAAAUUAAAAAAAUUCAGGGUAAAGCAAAAAAACUCAAAUGCAGAAUAAGUUGAUUGCACGCGAUCGUUUCCUACAUUUAUUACGGCCUUUUCUUAUUUUGUUCCUUUUGUAUAAGGAAGCCUUUUUUUAAACCAUGUUAUAUGUACAAAGUAUCCACCACAAUUUAAUAGUGAUUAAUCUUCGUCAAGGAACCGGUUGCGCACUCAAAGUGAAUUCACCUUUUCCUAUAAGGAAGGCUUGUAACCCCCCUCCCCCCUCUAUAAAAUUCUGAAUUCAACAAACACUUAUCCACAACAAAGGGGUGAGGAAGUGUUUGGAUUUUACUGUUUAUUUGCAGCUAUGGAGAAGAACAACGGCAAAGUCUGCGGGAUUUGUGAUAAGUGGUUCUCCAGUGGGAAAGCCUUUGGAGGCCACAUGAGAUCUCACUACGUCAAAUUGCCGAUUCCUCCAAAGCUUGAAACUAACAAUCAAGUAGAAGAUGAUUCAGCCAAUUCAACCCAGCAUCCCAUUCAAUCUGCUUCCUCACUGAGUUUCAGAUCUAUGAAACGCAACUUGUCUGCCAUCUCUGCAAGCUCAAACAGAGAAAACAAAUCUGAGUCCUACCCACAAAACCCAACCCACAAAAGAUCUAAAUGCCUCCGCAAACAAAAUGCAGCGGCCGAUACAAAAUCUCUGUCAGAACAAACAAGUCCAAUAAGUGAAACUAAAAUUCCUCAGGGUGCUUGGAUAGUGUGGGAUUUUUACAAACUCGCGCAGCAAGAGGAAGAGGCAAAGGCACAAAAAAUAAACGAAAUCAACGAAAUAAAGGCAAAAGACAGUGGAAGCGGGAGAGGUGACUUGCUUGCUCAAGCUGACUCCCAAACCAGGUUCAAGUGUGAGAAGUGUGGAAAAGUGCUCAGAUCUUUUCAAGCACUUGGUGGGCACAAAGCACACUGCAGAAUUGACAAAGAUGGUGACUUUAUUGAUCAGAAACCUUUUCAAUGCCCAUACUGCAACAGAAUGUUCAAGAAUGCUCAAGCACUUGGUGGACACAGGAGGGUACACUUUUCCGUUGCUAAUGAGUUUUGACGCGUGUCAGUGGAUCUCAAUUUAUCAGCUACAAGAUGAAGAGGAUAACCACACCUGUUCUGAAUUUUCAAGUCCCGAUGAUAUUUUAAGUUUCACAAAGCAAUUGCGGAGAUCAGAACUUACAGGUUUAAUUUGUGAUUCUGUACACAAUUUUAGCUGUAUUUAGUUCUGAGUGUUAAGAACAAUAUUUGCUUUCAAUCAUUUUAAGUUUGAAUAAUUUGGAAUUGUGGGUUUACAUUUAUGUAAAAGAGGGAUCUUUGCUUUUGAUUACUGUUUAAGUGUUUUGGUUAGUAGUUUGUAUCUUCUUUGUAGGUUAAUUUGUGUUCAGUGUUAUCAACUGCAGAUUGCAGAAAAUAAUGAUUUGUUCAAAGUUCGUUACGCAAGAGUGUUACAGUACUGAUAUAAUCACUAUUUGAUGACAUUUUGUACUAAAUAGCGAUUUGUUCAAAUUCUGCUGCGUUACAAUGCAACUAUAGCCACUAUUUAACAUCAAAUUCUGCUGCGUUACAACGCAACUAUAGCCACUAUUUAACAUCAAAUUCUGCUGCGUUACAAGGCAACUAUAGCCUCAAAUUCUGCUGCGUUACAAUGCAACUAUAGCCACUAUUUAACAUCAAAUUCUGCUGCGUUACAACGCAACUAUAGCCACUAUUUAACAUCAAAUUCUGCUGCGUUACAAGGCAACUAUAGCCACUAUUUAACAUCAAAUUCUGCUGCGUUACAACGCAACUAUAGCCACUAUUUAACAUCAAAUUCUGCUGCGUUACAACGCAACUAUAGCCACUAUUUAACAUCGGACAUUAUAAAUCUCCAUAUCUCCAUAAAGACCAAAUUAAUCAUAAUUUCUUUUGUUUGCACAAGUAUGGUUUUAGAUCAAACUUCAUUGGCUCCUACUCUGUUUUUGAAUUUUGGUAAAAAUGUAUAAAGCCUAGGAUGACUUGCUUCUCUAAUGUGACAUUAGACCUCUAUUUUCACAAGGUUUGUACUUAUGAACAGUGCUACAGAAGCCAUGGCACCGCCAUUGCGAAUGGCAUGGCAGAAUUUUCUAACAACCGCCAUACAGUUCGGUGAUGAGCUUGGCUGCAAUGGUGUGUUUAUGUGGCAGAUUUUUGGCCUUCCGCCAUCGAAAACACUGCAUAGACUGAUGAAUAAAAUUUUGUUGUUAUUAUAUACUCGUAGAAGCUUCAACAUAAUUAGAAGUGUUGUCUGUGUUAUCUAGGAAGAAAACUUUGUUUAAACUUUGGGUUGAACCACGUGUUCAGUACCAAGCUGCUAUGCAUGUGCUCUGGUAUGGCUUUCUAGGGGAGAAAUUAACCUUGAUGAAUUAUCCCUUUUUCAAAUUUUGAGAGUUUGUUUCAAGCCAUUGCUGGCAAAAAGGCUAGAUGUAAAAGAAAUGCUUAAAUAUCAUGAUCCGACAAAAGAGGUAUCAGAUCUAUCGCGAAAAGUUAAGAUAUGCCGCUAUGAUUCCAAAAAUGACAAAACAGGGGGUUUGGGAUUGUGCAAAAGUGUGGCACCUCUAAUGAGGCCCAGGUGACUGAAAAAAGCGAACAAAACUGCACAGACAGAAACUAGUUCAAAUAAUUAAACAUGAAAAAAAAAGCAAAACUCAAGCAGUUGAGAAGGAUGAAUGAGGUCGCAUAGAAACCAUAAAUAUAUAUCCGUAUGUGUGUGGGCAUGUAAUUGGAUGAAUAUAGAUACUGGAAGCAUAUGGCAUGCAAAUAGAACAGAAUGGAACUGCAUAUUUUGCUCUCUUCUCUUUGGUUCCACCUUUUUUCAGCGGUGUUGCCUAUUGCGGAUGGUGGUCCAUGGCGGAGAGCCAAAAUCCCGCCAUACCAUCAUAUUUUGCUCUCUUCUCUUUGGUUCCACCUUUUUUCAGCGGUGUUGCCUAUUGCGGAUGGUGGUCCAUGGCGGAGAGCCAAAAUCCCGCCAUACCAGAGACUUUGCAGCGCUCUUAUAGCGGAAUAUGGCAGAAAACCCACCCCGUAUAUCUGCCAUAGCGCCGCAAUUGCGGAUAUUUGAUAACUCUGUUUUUCAGUGAAAUCAAAAUGCAGUACUUGUUUUACUUUUUUUUAAUUGAGUCGGUUAUGUCCCAAAUUAUUUAGCAAAUGCUACCUAAGGUACAUUAUCUACUUUUUUUUUUGAAAACCCGGUAUUCGAUCGAUCUAACGACCGAGUAAUUCCACCGUCCACUAGUGCCUAAGGAUAAAUUAUAGUUGCUCUAAUUAGUAAUUACUAUAGGUUAAGUGAUACUCUACCAUGUAUACUAAUCCUUUUUACUACACUCCCUGCCCUUGUGUUGCUGGAAAAUAUAAAUAUAACUAUAAAUAGAAUACAAAAGGCCCUCUAGGACCAAGAUGCGGGAAUCCAAUUGACGAUGACAAAAAUGAAUUUUCGCCUCCAUGAUGUAUCAUCUAUCAAUCUCAGCUCAUGCCAAAUUCAACUUUUAGUAGUUAGAGAGUAUCAUUCUAUGAUUGAAGAAGGAAAUAAGAUAUCCAGCGGGAGUUUUGAGAUUAAGUUAGAGUUUCAUUUUUUAAUAAAAUGGGGAAGGAGAAAUUAUGAAAUUUUUUGACUAAGAUGGGGAAAACCUUGCCAUAUGCGAAUCCCAAUUAACUCUUAAAGCCCCACAUGUGCAUCUCUGCUAACAUUAACUCUCGAAGCUUUUAAUUUUAAACCAAAUUUACGGAUGGAGUCAUAAUUUAGGGUGUUUUUACACUGUUCUUUCAAAAGAAAGUUAAAAUAUCAAAUAUAUAUUAAAAUAUUAGAAUUAGAGUUUGACCUAACUCAUUCCUAUAAAAUUGACUUGUAAAGUGAGGGGUGUCACUCUAUAUAAACUCUUAUUAGACUCUAUCUUUAACCAAUGUGAGACUUAAGUACUUGGCUUUUUUUCAAUACACCCCUCACGUCCAACACUAUUGAGUUUGGUGCAUAAACGGUGGGUGGUCUUAAUUGUGGGAUUUGAUUUUUCCAAUACGCCCCUUAAUGCCCGGCACUAUUCCUUAUGCCCAGCACUAUUGAGUUUGGCUCGCAUAUUUAUAUAUAUAUAUAUAUAUGGUGGGUGACUAGAAUCGAUAGGCUCUUGAUAUCAUGUAAGAAUUAAAAUUUGGCCUAAAUCACCCUACAAAACAGGCUUGUAAGGUGAGGAAUGUCACUUUAUAUAAAUUUUUAUUACGCUCUAUAUUUAUCCAAUGUGGGACUUGGAUACUAGAGUUUUCCCUAUAUAAAAUAUAGACACUGCCUUCCUAAAACCUACCCUCCAAAAUUUAACUCCCAAACAUACAUUUUGGUUUUAUUUGGGAGUUGUGAGGAGAAGGGAGAGGAGAACUUUGAAAAAAAGAAGGAUUGGAUGAAAAGAAUGGAGAGAUCUAAGUAGGAAUGAUUUUGGAGGAUUUAUUUUUAUUCAUAAUAUAAAAUUAUCCUAGUUUGGAAUAACUAAAAAAUUGUAUUGGAAGAGAGGUAUAAAGAGUUUGGGAGAGUUUAGAUAAACUGUUGAACUUUAAGAUAUAUUAUAAUAUUCCAAAAAUUAAAACUAUGUUAAUGAUACACAUUCUUUUAUCACUAUUCAAAAUCAUUCUUUCAAAAAAAAAACACUGAAGAUUUCUCUAUAUUUGACUAAUCCCUCAUCCAUCAAGGACCAAAAUGAUUUUAAUAUCAUAUUCUAUAAUGAUGUCGCUUUUAUCUACGUGGAUACUAUUAAUGGAUUAUAUUAGCCCAAACAUGAAAAACUGGCAACAAAAUGUUUCUUAACACUAUAUUUCCUUAGAAGUAUAAUUCUAGUCCAUUGCAUGUGUUAGAGGGAAGUGUUAAAAAACACCAUGCGAUCCUAAUUCAAUUACUUGUGAGAAAGAUGGUUGAUCUAAAUAUAUAGCAUUAAAAAGUAAGAAUAACCGAGCCACUCACAAGUCACAACUUACAAGAUGAAACUCUACACACUCGGAGUAGGGCACAAGAUAGGGCACAAGCAAGCAUCUGAUGAUGUCACUUUGUGUUGAAACUACAUGUUUACCUAUCUUAGAAGUUUAAGACUAAACCAAAUUCUCAGAUGCAAGUACAAGGAAAAACCAUAGAAGUGCGAACAAUAUAAAAUUGGCAGUCUAAAAGAAUUUAGUCACAAUCACAGACACCCAAUCCCUUUCCUCUAAAAAAGAGUUGGUGCAUGAUGUCGUGUGCAGGACACCCCGAAAUUCCAUAUACAAAAAACAUAAUUGACCAAAUUCACCUUGGAUACACAACAUCACACCACAUGGAAUUGAAACAGUACUGUGACAGUGGAAAGCGGACGAUGAAGAUAGCACAUAGGGUCAAACCCUCUUACAUAUUAAGUCUUUGUAAUCAUUGUUGAUCAUGGAUUCUCCUAAUUUAAAAUUUAUUUAAGAUAAUAACUAAACUUGACUUUGGCAAGUGAGAAGAUUGGUUUCCCUCUUCCAAAGUGAGCUCUCCUCACCUUCGAGAAGAAAAUAUUGUGUCGAGUCAGCCAGAAAGUCAAUUGUUUAUAUUAAUCACAUGUAUAAUAAGUUAUGAAUUUGCAUGUAUCUUUCUUAAAAUUUGGAUUGGACCUAACUCAACCUUACAUAAUCAGUUUAUAAAGAAGGUUGUCAAUAGCACCACUAUAGCAGAAAAGUGUGAGUGGUAGGGCUCGGGUGCGAUACCAUCUCUCUGCGAGCCACCUUCAAAAGUCGCAGUUUUCGCAGCCACAAAUUGUGACCGUCCUGCCAUCCACAGGCUCACUACAGCUGUGCCUAAUGGAGAUAGGAAUUGGAGGUGGAAGAACAAAAGUUUGAAUAAGUGAUGAAAAUGACAUAUGAUACUAUCUAUUUAUGCUGCUUAAGUUUUUUCACCUGGCAAUAUUUCUUGACAUUUUCGGUUAGUUAACUGCUCAACAUAAAAAUGAGUUCAAAGAAAAUGUACUAUCAAUGUAAAUUUGUUUUACACAAACAUCCAAUGAGAGUCCACUGUUUUGCCAAGUCAUCCCACUCUUAGUUUAUACUGAAAUUGUUGAUAUGAAGUGGCAAAAUGAUGAGUUCCUAUUUUGUCUGUAAAACAAAUUUACACUAUCUGUGCAUGUCCCUUUAACUCAUAUAAUUAAAAACAUAUAUUUAAUCAUCAGGAAUUCGAUUACUGGUGAAUAGUGAAGCCUGAACCAUAUCUUUGUUAUUUUUCACUAAUUCAAUGACAAAUCAAGUUUUAAAAACACUAGUUUCAAUGUAGAAAAAUAAAAUCAAUAUUACACUUUUGCCUCUUCUAACUUGAUUCUUUGAUAUCUUUUUCUAUUCAAAUUUAGCCCGCACAUACUAUCAAUGCUAUAGUCAAAUGUUUCUUUCAAUUCCCUUCAUCCAAAAAUUCUCCAUAUUUUUGUUUUAUGCAGAUCUUGGACACAAGCUAACUAGACAAACUCGGUAAGCCAUCAUAAAUUCAUUUGCAACUCUUCUUCUCAUAGCAAGAUUUACCCUAAUGUUGAAGGGAUCGCGAGUUGGAGUGUAGGGAAUCACACCAUCUUGUGAUUCAAGCAGUGUUUCCAAUUGCGGAUGGCGGUCCAUGGUGGAAAGCCAUAAUCCCGCCAUAUUGAGUUCUGUUGGAGUGUAGGGAAUCACACCAUCUUGUGAUUCAAGCAGUGUUUCCAAUUGCGGAUGGCGGUCCAUGGUGGAAAGCCAUAAUCCCGCCAUAUUGAGUUCUUUGUGGCACCGUCGUAGUGGAUUAUAGCAGAAAAGCAGCAAAAUUGGUUGACAUUUAAUAUCAACCAUCGCGCCGCCAUGGUGGAUACUCAAUAAUAUGGACUCAAUAAUUACUUAGCACGUCGUAAUAUCUUUAGGAUUGGACGUGAUGGGAUCACACAAAAACAGCACGGAUUGUAGUGGUAUUGCAAGUUGGUUGCACGUGAUUUGUUUCUUAAUCUGGGUCCAUUUUCAGCCACAUAAAAAACUAGUUUCUUAAAGUUGAAGCAGUUCGGGUCGGGUUUAAAGAGUAGGUUCCAAAUUUAAAACAGAAAUAAAAACGUCUUUCUUCUUCCUCACACAAUGUCCGUUCAGACUAAAAGCCAAAACAAAUCCUCUUCUGCUAGCGAUAGCAAGUCACCUCUUAAACUCUCAUCUGCCCUCUUCCCUUUGUGUCUCCAUUACUUGUGUGUGUUAUUUAUUAACUUGUUGUCAUGAAUUUAUCUUUAUGAACUUAGUUUAAUGUUGUGAUUUAGAGGUUAUUUUAUUCAUCUAUGAUAAAUUUUAUGCAUGUGCAUAUAUAACUAUAUAACUAUAUAUAUUAUACACGUAUAUUAUACACAUAUAUUAUACACGUAAGUGUACUUUUUCCCUUAUGAUUCGUGCUAUAGUUCUCGAGUUACGAUCUUUCAACCCCCUCCCGAUCUUAUGUAGAAUCUUAAUUUUCAACACAUUGAUAAACCCUUUCAUCCAUUCAUUUAUGAUGCUCGGAAACUUUAAACUUAUUUCUAAUUAGCAUGCAAGUUAGCAACAUGUCAAUAACCAAGCAAGAUGAAGUCCAGAAAAAAUAUAUAUAACAAUCUCAUCAGUCUUCUACCCUAGGGUUGAACACAUAGCAUACUAUAUAAAGCAUAAUUAGAAGGCAUGACAGAAAAUUGGUAAAAAAAUCUAGUUAAAUGGGGAUUUUUCAUAUGUAGAAACAUGAUUGUAAAGCAUAUUCAGUAUUAAAGAAAUUUAAAAAACCAAACAUGAAAGAAUCUAUCAAGAUUGAAUUGAAUAUCUACCUGGUCCAAUUUUCAGUGAUCCAAGAGAGAGAAUGCUACGAGUGAAUCAGGAACUCUUCAAUUCCUAUAAAAUCUUUCAGUUCUCUACGAAAGAGAAUAACAAAAUGAGAUUUGAAUCGCGUAUAGAAAUAAAUAGUAAUAGCAAGUUUCUAUAGCCGCAACUUUCAAGAAACUAUCUCUAACCUGUCAAUCUGGGAAUCACGGUGCACAGUUGAUAACUGAUCAGCUGAGACGCCUUUUGCAGAGGCGGCUAUGGCGGCCGUAAAUCGCGCCGAAAUCGCAUCAUCGGGCGCGCCACAGAAGGAGAGAGGGAAAGACAGAUCUCUUAAGGAUACCCUACGCUUGGGGUUGUAUAUUAUCUAUCUACCUUUUUUUCCAUGGAAAAAAAAUCUAGUAGUAACUCUACUAAUACUAUAGUUUAUUUUCUUCAUUAAUUUUUUAAAUUUUCAUCGGCAUUUUAAAAAUCUGCUUUUUUUUUUUCUUUCAUUUUAAUCUUUUUGGAAUUU
rnacentral:lncRNA from 1 species